UUCUGUAUUUAGACAGUUUUAUAUAAUUGUAUGUAUUAUUCCUGUCUUUAUAUUCUUUUCAUUCACCAGGACACUUGUACAGAUUUACACAGGCUUCUGGAGGAGAUCUGAUGAAUGCAGGAGGAGACACACUGAUUUCACCCUUACAGGAGUCACAUCUUGUGAGCUCCAGCCACGCUGACGGAGACAGAGACGGAGACGGAGACAGAGGAGAGUCUGUUUCUCCAUCUCCAGAGGUUAUUACUGAUGCACUAAACUCACACGCCUCUGAGGAUCUGCUCGCUGUUAUCUCUGCCCAGUUAUCUCAAAGAUAUUUGUAAAGUGUCGAAGGCAAUAAAUGAAAGUGCAUCAAGGACAUGGCACACAUACUGACUCCACAUCAGAAGACAGUAAUGUCAGUAAUGAUGACCUCUGUGUCACACACAUAUGGCCAAGGCAUCCAGAGAUAUCUGGAGAGACCUAGGGAAAGGCAAAAGCAGAGUCAGUUCACAGAUCUCCAGUGGACAAAUACUGCAGUACUGCCUUCAGAAGACACGUGUGAAGAUCCAGGGAUCUAAACGAACGAGACCCCUCUCCACUGCUCGGGUACCGUACGCUUGCAGACUGCCCAUAACACACGAAAGAAGCCUGACAGCAGUGUGAUGAAGUGUGCCACGGUGUAGAGGAACUGAGGAGACCACACGGGCCAGCUGACGAAAGGGACACUCCCAAGGGCCCUACACUUGCUAAAUCUGGAGAACAUACUGUAGAAAGCCCAGUGUUGGAGUCCGGAUGUGGGGAUAACGCCCCUACACCUGCAGUGCUUAAAACACAUGAUGGAGAUAAGAGGAGCAGGAGAAAAGCUCAGCCUUCAGAAGAUGCUAGAGGAGAACGGAUUCAGAGAAAGGUCUCCCGAGGAGUGAUGCUGUGGUCACCAGAUCCUGUGAAACUGAUGAUGUUCACAUCGAUGCCACAGAAAGGUGAGGAAGAUCAGACCCAUUCGAUGUUUAUGAGGCAUCCUAAGAAGGUCAUGUGCCUCGUGACCACACCCCCUCAUCUGUGAUGCACUUUCUACAGUCAUGUCAAACCGAUUAUUAUGGUUUGUCUGGAAGAACAUCACAGGGAGACAGUACUCAUCAUGUGUGAUGGGUUCCUUGAUUUACUUCAGGCUGUUGUCUACAGUUGUUGCUCAAAGUCUGUUAUGACCCUGUCACUGGGAAGGAAGAGGAAGAGGAAAUGAAGGUUCCUGCUCUUCAUCGUUGCUUGAGCCAUGUGAUGAAGAAUGACAAGUCUUCUGUAAAAACAGUACGUGUACAUUAGUAAAGGUCAUUAGUAAAGUCUACAUUAGUAAAGGUCAUUAGUAAAGGUCAUUAGUAAAGGUCAUUAGUAAAGGCUGUGGAUGCAUGUGUUUGGCCUGUUCUCCUCCUCAGCUACACGGGUUGAGAUGAAGACAUUGUGUGGAGCACGGCACUGCGGGAGAACGUGCGGAAACAUGUUCUCUAUCUUCACACCAAGAUGCUAAACAUUUCUGGAGAUCUGACACAAGGAACAGAGGAGGACUUGGGUUAAUAAAUCAGUAGUGUCUUCUUAAAUGUGAAUUAUGUCAGUUCUGUGGCAGUAUCAGCACCAAGGGACACAUUGUGUAAUACUUUAUGAAUAAAGAUGUUUUCUUCAA